rnacentral:rRNA from 1 species
GGGGUAAUGUUUAUGGAAUGAGCGGCGGACGGGUGAGUAACACGUGGGCAACCUGCCUGUAAGAUCGGGAUAACUCGCGGAAACGUGAGCUAAUACCGGAUAACACUUUUCAUCUCAUGGUGAGAAGAUAAAAGACGGUUUCGGCUGUCACUUACAGAUGGGCCCGCGGCGCAUUAGCUAGUUGGUGAGGUAACGGCUCACCAAGGCGACGAUGCGUAGCCGACCUGAGAGGGUGAUCGGCCACACUGGGACUGAGACACGGCCCAGACUCCUACGGGAGGCAGCAGUAGGGAAUCUUCCGCAAUGGACGAAAGUCUGACGGAGCAACGCCGCGUGAGUGAUGAAGGUUUUCGGAUCGUAAAACUCUGUUGUUAGGGAAGAACAAGUUGGGUAGUAACUGACCCAACCUUGACGGUACCUAACCAGAAAGCCACGGCUAACUACGUGCCAGCAGCCGCGGUAAUACGUAGGUGGCAAGCGUUGUCCGGAAUUAUUGGGCGUAAAGCGCUCGCAGGCGGUCUUUUAAGUCUGAUGUGAAAGCCCACGGCUUAACCGUGGAGGGUCAUUGGAAACUGGAGGACUUGAGUACAGAAGAGGAGA